rnacentral:rRNA from 1 species
GAUGAACGCUGGCGGCGUGCCUAAUACAUGCAAGUCGAGCGAACAGACGAGGAGCUUGCUCCUCUGACGUUAGCGGCGGACGUGUGAGUAACACGUGGAUAACCUACCUAUAAGACUGGGAUAACUUCGGGAAACCGGAGCUCAUACCGGAUAAUAUAUUGAACCGCAUGGUUCAAUAGUGAAAGACGGCCUUGCUGUCACUUAUAGAUGGAUCCGCGCCGCAUUAGCUAGUUGGUAAGGUAACGGCUUACCAAGGCAACGAUGCGUAGCCGACCUGAGAGGGUGCACGGUCACACAAGGACUGAGACACGGUCCAGACUCGUACGGGAGGCAGAAGUAGGGAAUCUACCGCAAUGGGCGAAAGCUUGACGGAGCAACGCCGCGUGAGUGAUGAAGGUCUUCGGAGAGUAAAGCGCUGUUAUGAGGGAAGAACAAAUGUGUAAGUAACUAGGCACGUCUUGACGGUACCUAAUCAGAAAGCCACGGCUAACUACGUG